rnacentral:rRNA from 1 species
GCGUUCAUUCCAUACCCGUUCUCGUCUGAUCACCGAAGUGAAGCAACGUCGGGCCCGGUUGGUACUUGCACGGGUGACCGGCUGGAGAUACCGGGUGUUGCGGCC